CCUACGGGUGGCAGCAGUGGGGAAUAUUGCACAAUGGGCGAAAGCCUGAUGCAGCAACGCCGCGUGAAGGAAGAAGGGUUUCCGCUCGUAAACUUUUAUUAACAGGGACGAAAGAAAUGACGGUACCUCAAUAAGAAGCAUCGGUUAAGUCGGUGCAAGCAGCCGCGGUGAUACGGGGGAUGCGAGAGUUAUCCGGAUUCAUUGGGUUUAAAGGGUGCGUAGGCGGAGCGUUAAGUCAGUGGGAAAAUUGAGGGGCUAAACCACAUCCCGCCAUUGAUACUGGCGCUCUUGAGUGGAAGAGAGGUAGGCGGAAUGCGUGGUGUAGCGGUGAAAUGCAUAGAUAUCACGCAGAACCCCGAUUGCGAAGGCAGCAUGCCGGCUUCCGACUGACGCUGAAGCACGAAAGCGUGGGGAUCGAACAGGAUUAGAUACCCGAGUAGUC
rnacentral:rRNA from 1 species